UACAGAGGUGGCAAGCGUUGUUCGGAAUUACUGGGCGUAAAGGGCGCGUAGGCGGCCAUCUAAGUCAGACGUGAAAUCCCCCGGCUUAACCUGGGAACUGCGUCUGAUACUGGAUGGCUUGAGUUCGGGAGAGGGAUGCGGAAUUCCAGGUGUAGCGGUGAAAUGCGUAGAUAUCUGGAGGAACACCGGUGGCGAAGGCGGCAUCCUGGACCGACACUGACACUGAGGAGCGAAAGCCAGGGGAGCAAACGGG
rnacentral:rRNA from 1 species